AUUGAACGCUGGCGGCAUGCCUUACACAUGCAAGUCGAACGGUAACAGGCCGCAAGGUGCUGACGAGUGGCGAACGGGUGAGUAAUGCAUCGGAACGUGCCCAGCCGUGGGGGAUAACUGCUCGAAAGAGCAGCUAAUACCGCAUACGACCGGAGGGUGAAAGCGGGGGAUCGUAAGGCCUCGCGCGAUUGGAGCGGCCGAUGUCAGAUUAGCUAGUUGGUGGGGUAAAGGCCUACCAAGGCAACGAUCUGUAGUUGGUCUGAGAGGACGACCAGCCACACUGGGACUGAGACACGGCCCAGACUCCUACGGGAGGCAGCAGUGGGGAAUUUUGGACAAUGGGCGCAAGCCUGAUCCAGCAAUGCCGCGUGCAGGAAGAAGGCCUUCGGGUUGUAAACUGCUUUUGUCAGGGAAGAAAUCUUCUGGGCUAAUACCCCGGGAGGAUGACGGUACCUGAAGAAUAAGCACCGGCUAACUACGUGCCAGCCGCCGCCGUAACAC
rnacentral:rRNA from 1 species